rnacentral:tRNA from 1 species
GGUCCCAUCGUCUAGUGGUUAGGACUCGAGAUUUUCAAUCUCGCAACACGGGUUCGACUCCCGUUGGGACCA